GACGAACGCUGGCGGCGUGCUUAACACAUGCAAGUCGAACGAUGAAGCCGGAGCUUGCUCUGGUGAAUUAGUGGCGAACGGGUGAGUAACACGUGAGUAACCUGCCCUUGACUCUGGGAUAACUGCGGGAAACUGUAGCUAAUACCGGAUACGACCCUCGGAGGCAUCUCCUGGGGGUGGAAAGAAUUUCGGUCAAGGAUGGACUCGCGGCCCAUCAGCUAGUUGGUGAGGUAAAGGCUCACCAAGGCGACGACGGGUAGCCGGCCUGAGAGGGUGCCCGGCCACACUGGGACUGAGACACGGCCCAGACUCCUACGGGAGGCAGCAGUGGGGAAUAUUGCACAAUGGGCGCAAGCCUGAUGCAGCAACGCCGCGUGAGGGAUGACGGCCUUCGGGUUGUAAACCUCUUUUAGCAGGGAAGAAGCGAAAGUGACGGUACCUGCAGAAAAAGCACCGGCUAACUACGUGCCAGCAGCCGCCGUAA
rnacentral:rRNA from 1 species